CCCACUCCCCUUCAGUCUCGUUUCCCCCUCCUUAUGUUUCUCCCUUUCUAUUCAAAAAUUAAAAUAAUAGUGUUGGUGCUUGAAAAAAAAACUCAAUUUUUCUACUAGAUGAAAAUCUCAUUUUAAGAAGUGUUAAGAAGGAAAGGUGCUCCCCUCUACAAGGUGGUGUUUGUGAGCAAAUUUAUUUAAGUUGGUGAUCAUUUACAUUAUUGUGGAAAUUGGAUUUUGCCCUCAGAUGAUACCCGAAUUCGUUCCACCGACUAUUACCUUGACGACAAAAACGUCGUUAGACUUCCCUGACCGAUAUUCGCCGACUGCUUGGGUAUACAACUCCAUCUCAAGCAAGGCUACUUAUACGAGAGGUUGGUGAGGACAAGUAGGAGAGCUGGAGCAGUAUAUCUCGUGGAGCUCACUCACGAGAGGAUCGACUAUCUGGUACUCUCAGGAUUGGUGUUCGAGGUGAAUGGGUCAUGGGAAGAUGCAGAGGAUUCCUCAGUUAGAGUUGAGAUAGAGACCAUUGUAGGAGCUGGAGAUACAGUGGUUGAAUCGGAGACUAGCGGGAAUGAUAAGGGGCUGAUGCCAGCGAGAAGAGAUAUUGUGGGACCGUCUAUUCGAGUUGAGCCAGAGCUUCCACUUCUGGUGAAUGAUCAUCUACUGACUAUCACUGAUGUAGUGAGUUGUUAUGAGAUUCCAGCGUCGCUGAAGCCACCUAUCUCGUGGGUGGACCUAACUUCUGAGGAUACUGAUCCUUUUAUGGCUGAUGAGUAGGAGGAAGUUACUUCGAGGAGAGAUAUUGCGUUAAAAGGAACUUGUGUAGUGUGUGGAGGUCACCCUUGUUACUGUAGUUAUUAGUGGAUGAUCAGAUUAGUUUUUGAUUGUAUUGUGUCUUGGUGUUGUUCUUUUGGUGGUUGUACCUAUUAUAUUUUGGGAUGACCGUAUCUAUGACAUAACUUGACAGUUGACUUUUGGUGGGUUCAUUUUCCAUUUUUUUGACGUGACCAUGGGGGAUAGUAUUCUUGGUGCAGUACUUAUGUGCAAGUGUCUGCCGAGAAUAGCAUAGGGGGUAUGAGUGAUGUAUGAUAGGUCUCAUAGCUCUAGUGUAUUUUCUAUUUGUAUACUUUGGGUUAUAGUCCCAAAAAUUAUCUUAGGUUGUUGGUAUAUUUAUGAUGUAAUUAUUUAUGACUCUUGUUGUUUUGUGUUAUGACGUAUUAUUUUA